CGCCGCGGCCUCCGGCACUGAGCGAGGCUGCCCCGGUGCAGUAUGGAGGCGAAGGUAGGGUCCACGCAGAUUACGGGCGGCGCGUGCUCUGUGUUGGCGGAGGAGACCGAAAAGUGGAUGGAACAGGCGAUGCAAAUGGCCAAAGAAGCCCUAGAAAAUAUUGAGGUUCCUGUUGGCUGCCUUUUGGUCUACAACAAUGAAGUUGUAGGGAAGGGAAGAAAUGAAGUUAAUCAAACCAAAAAUGCUACUCGACAUGCAGAAAUGGUGGCCAUCGACCAGGCCCUAGAUUGGUGUCGUCGACAUGGCAAGAGUCCUUCUGAGGUGUUUGAACACAUGGUGCUGUACGUCACUGUGGAGCCGUGUAUCAUGUGCGCAGCCGCUCUCCGCCUGAUGAAAAUCCCGCUGGUUGUCUAUGGCUGUCAGAAUGAACGAUUUGGUGGUUGUGGCUCUGUUCUAGAUAUUGCCUCUGCUGAUCUACCGAAUACUGGGAGACCAUUUCAGUGCAUCCCUGGAUAUCGGGCUGAGGAAGCAGUGGAGAUGUUAAAGACCUUCUACAAACAAGAAAAUCCAAAUGCACCAAAAUCAAAGGUUCGGAAAAAGGAAUGUCAGAAAUCCUGAACUUGUUCUAAUGAAAGACUCAUGUUCCUGGACGACACUCUUGGACAGAAAGCUGUUGACAUUGUUGAAUCGCUCAGAGACCAGCCUGCCUUCCUGUGGUUUCCGUGGAAUCGAAAUGUUUGCAUGGGUUUCGUCAUCUCCAGGAGAAGCUAGCUGGUCAUGCAGUGACGGCCUCGUCCUUCACCAGGAUGCCAAGUGUCGGGGGAUGAACCCAGAGACUUCAUAGAGCAGGUUCUUACAACAAUAAGUAGUUUCAGGAGAAUUCAACAACAAGAAAACAUGGAGAAAGAAAAUAUGGUGUGUUGAGGAAGUUUCCUCAAGUCAUUUGACCUAUUUGGAGGCAGCAUGGUAGAAGGCAAAGAGUUCAAGUUUCAGAGUCAGGCAAUUCUGGGCUCAAACCCUGGCAUUGGCACUUCUGUGUGAACUUGGGUGAGUUCUGCCAUCUGUCUCUACUUCAGGGUCCUCAUCUAUCAAACAGAGAUAACAUCUUAGGGAAUGGUUGUGGAAAUUAGAGAUCAUAUAUUUAAGUACACAGUGACUAGCAUUUGAUAGGAGCUCAGUAACAGUAGCUACUGUUAUUCCGUUUAAUGGACCUGGCCUGUUACACCACUCCCCGCUACAGUGUGCCUGCAGGAUGAGAAAGCACCAGUAUAUCCUGGAUGUGGCCAGGAGAGCAGGCUUGCUACUCACUGCGGUAAAGCGUCCUGGAGGAAGCCCUGUUAAUACAAACAUAGGUGAAAACUACUCUCCGGCACUCACACCCUGAUUUCUCAUUGUCAUGGUGACAGGGAUACCUGGGCUCCCUCCCUCCUCUUCUAGCCACACCAUCUUUGUAAAUGCCUCCGUCCCCCAUAACUUUUUGAACCCUCAUUAGAAAGUCUAAUGAAUGGCCCCUUUUGAGGGAAGUUCUUACCUGCAUGAGGUGGGAAGCUGGGCUGUGGGUGUCCAGGAUCGCUUUCAGCAACACACAAAAUGUACAGAGAGCCCAGUCUGGAAGAAGUGCUCAUAAAAUGUGCCAUUGAAAAAGCCCUGGCAGCUAAAAAGAGGAGCUGUCACUCUCCAGCGCAGACACGCUCCAACAGCUUUGCGUCAUUAAAAAAAUACAACACAACACAGCAGAAGAAACAAACAGAGGGAGAAAUGAAAAUGCCUCAGUAAAAUCUAUGCAGUCCAGCAGGAUCUAGCCCCUGUCAUGAGAUUUCCUACCGUUCUGUCCUCACUCUGCUUUGGCUACACCGGUUCUGCUUCAGGCUUCACACGCCCGUAAUUCUGGAUCUUUGCAUGGCUCACUCCCUCGCUACCUUCAGGCAUCUGUUCAAGGAGGCCUUCCUGGGCAGCUCUGGGUAAUAGAGUCCCCAUCCUCCCACCCCCUUCCUGCUUCUCUGUCUCUAACUUCUUUCCAUUCCCCCGUCGCUACCUCCUGUUCUGCUGCUGCUUCUUCUUUGCACUUACCACUACUGGAACUUCAUUUAUUUACUUUUUCUUAUUUUCUCUUGUCUUUCCUACCCACUAGAAUUUAAAUGUCAUGAGAGUGAGGGAUUUGUGUCUUGUUCAUCGCUGCAUCUCAAGUGCUUACAACUGUGCCUGGCAUGUAGCAGGUACUCAAUCAAUAUUUGCUACACGAGUGAAUAAAUAAACAGAGGAGCAAGAGAAGCAAGAGACUGGGUUUUCUCUCAUACUAGGUCAUGACUUUCCAACUCUAGAAGGCUGCAAAUAUUUUCCAAGUACAAUUAGGAUUGGAGUUCUAGUGAAUUUCCGUUUUCAGUCUAUACAAGGACAUUACCACUUAAACCAGUUCCUUUUUAGAAGUGAUAUAGUAUUACAUUUAGUAGUAGUAUGUUUUCUUCUAAUUCAAGUUACUCUAGUUUUAAAGCAAGUGUAUCUUCAGGUUGGUGGUAAAAUCACCAUAUAGGUCUCUUUGUGGCCAUUUCGUUAACUUCUCUUUACCUUUUUCAUAACGGGUGAAUCUUAAAACUGCAGAAGAACUUGGGUUGUCUACCGCAAUAAAACCAGCAGCACUGUUAAUAAGGGAUAUUUAAGCCCAAGACUGUAAGCUCAAGGAGGGCAGGAACCUUGUCUGUUUUUCUAAGUGUUUUAUACACAGCACAUAGCACAGUGCUUGGCACAUAAUUUGUUGAGAAACUUAACAUAUGUGAUUAAGUAAAUAGACGUAACUCUUGUUCUUCUUGGUUACUUUAGCAUUGUAGACAGCUAAUGAGACUACUGUUUCCUUAACCUUUGCAUCUAAGUACCCACCUAGUAAAGUUAUUAAGGCAUUGAUUCCUCAUUAUCUUCUCUCCUUCCCCUGAUGGGAUGGAUUCUCACUCUCCCUGGUAGUCAUUAAAUUUUUCCUGCAGUCUUGGUUCUUGGUGGCUUCGUUCAGUGGAUGUUGCUUCUACAACUACCUCUGUUUGUGUCUUUGUCCCCAUCUGCUGCUACUUCGUGUUUGAUGUUUCACUCUAAUCUCCACAAGGACCUCUGAAGAUGGAGGAUGGUUAUGUCUCAACUCAUGGACUAAGCUUUCUCAGCCCAACUUUGGAUGACACUGCUUCUCAGUAACCUGAGAUCUUUGUCUAGUAUCUUAUAUGUAGUCUGAACCUUCAAUGUGACAGCACUCCUUUGAGGACUCAGAGUAACUUACCCAAGACUAAUACCAGAAGAUGAAUGAAGGCACUACAUGACUCAUCCUGACUUCACUGAGUAUCCCCCAAAACUCACGUCAUUUGAUUCUCUCCUACGUUAGGGUGAUUUCACUAUUCCCCCACCUGGGACAUCCUUAUCUUACCCAUAGGUGUUGGGCAAACUUAUUCUCCCAUCCUGGUCUUAAAAGUUCUCUUUAACAUCUAUUCUUAAUUCCCUAGAGGCAGUCAUGUAAAUAAAACCACUAUAGUUCUGGAGGUAGAGGCAGGUGCAGAUUAAUCCCUACUUAGAUUUCUGUUAUGAACUCUACUUCGUUGACCAAUAUCCAAAUAGGAAAAAGUCAAAAUGGGGAACUUUAUUACAAUUCUAAUAACUCUUUUCCAAACCUAACUCAAUAUUUACUUAUUUAAAAAUACUUUCAGGUUCUCCUCUCCUUAAAGGAGUAACAAGCCAAAGUAAAUUUAGCUUUAUAGUUAUUUGUUUUAUAUAUCAUCAAAACUCUGAAAUUCAAUGAGGUACCUUGAUCUUUCCUUUAUUUAAUGUUUUCACUAUUUAGAAUAAGAGUUCAAUGACUUCCUGAAUGAUAUUCCACAGUAAUCAUAUUCCUGAACUCACCUGCCUCUCUGAGGGUAGGUAUUGCCAUCACCGCUUCAAAAAGUCAAUCUCAGCUAAGGACAUCUCUCUAUCCACCAGCAGACACCCAUUCAUCAGUGGAAGACCCAAGUUUUUUAUAGAAAAUGGGCUUUUAACUCAUCUUUUUAUUAUGUAGGACCAAAUAGAAAAUUUUAUUAUUAACAUAUAAGCUAAAAUUUUUUCCACCCCAGGAUAAACAAUGGACUUCAUGAGAAAAAAUAGAGCAUAUGGGCCCUAAAAUGUUUUAAUAGGAAAAUGUUUGUUUAUUUAGUACCUACUAUGUGCCAGAGAGUGUAAGUAUUGUUGAUUUGAAGACCAUUAGCUAUGUUCUAUGCCCUUAAGGAGUGCAGAGUCUAGUAGAAUAGACAGAAUUAGUUAUGUUAGGGUUAAAGGAAUAAUUUCCUAUUGAAUAUAAUCGAUUUAUUUCGGACCUCUAAUGGAACUGGGAGGAUGGAAGGGCCUCCUUGCUUGCUCUGGUCUGUGGGAGGAAUGAGACAUCCGUGAGGGAGAUGGAUCAGACACUGAGAAUCAAGAGAGGACAUUUCCCUACCCACGCUUCCUCCCUCCCUCCCUCCCUUCCUCCCUCUAUUGCUUCUUUCCUUCCUUCCUCACAAAAGCCCUCCUCUGCCCUCUGCCAACUCUUUCUUCCCAUCUCCCCACCAAUGUCUAUUCUUCAUUUCCUUUCUCAAGCCAGUGGUUUAAGGGAGGGAAGACUCUUCUUUGGAUCUUUUGUCCCCAAAUGAAAAAAAUAAUGCCCAAGUCUCUCAGCCGCUUUAAGGUAUUGGGUUUCAAAAACAUUUUUACAACAGCCCUUCCAAGGACCACUCACCUGUCUGCCAAAGGUAAGUAAUGCUCUGGAGUCAAGAUCGCCUUCUUUGUCACAGGAGGGGAGGAGAUUGUUUUUCACACACUUGGAGGGCUGCCAGUACGUUUGCUGAGUUUAUUGCAAGCCUGUUUUAGGGUGUUGUUGGCUCAUUAAACUCAGUUUCUUAAUGUACAAGAAACUUGAUAAGAUCUGAUAAGACCAUCUGGACUAUACUAGGGGCAGUGUUAGCUAUUUAUACCUCCAAAUUACCUACACUUUGAAAUAAAAUGGCCAGUUUCACUCUAAUUAAGUCAUAUCUCCACCAGGAAAUAGGCAAAAAAAUUUCUUAGUAGUUUCCUGAUCUCCUUUUGCACUGUUGGACUUGAAACAUGGUAGUCUCAGAUUUUCAUAUCAUAUAUUUAUACAAAGUAACUUAAAAUUAUAACUGAUAUUUAUGUUAAUAAAAUCAACUAUUGAUAUAUACUGAUUUCCUGGUUUGAGCCAUUAGUACAUUCUAAAUACAUUAUUGUCAUUUUAUACACAUCAUUUUCAUUUCAAACUACGACCAUGCAAGACAGGCAGUAUUAUUAUUUAUCAAAUGAGAAAAACUGAGCAUCAGAAAAGUUAAGUAUCUUUUCCAAAGCCAUACAGCUAGUAAGUGGCAAAGCCAAGAUUUAAGCAUAGAUGUGUAUAUUAACACUUUCAUAUGUAUAUAUUUACGUAUGUCAGUAAACUAUAUGAUAAAUCAUCCUCAUGUUUAUUUUUUCAAGACUGGUUGUAAUUAAAAUACAGUUUUUUCCUUUUCCAUUUAAAAAGCUGGUUUUGGGGAGAGGAGAAGACAAUUGCUAACAGAUGUCAACAAAUUUUUAGAACUGAGAAAGGAGUUUUUAUUUGUCAUAAAAUGUGAACACUGAAUAUCUAUUUAAUUAAUAACAAUGUAAUAAAACUAGAUUAGGAUGCUAGGAGAUAGACAAUGUCUGGAAGAUUAGGGGCUGUAAGUGUAAGAGGCCUAAUUCCUCAUUGCCCAGAGUAGACAGUCAAUAGAAAAAAAAAUGUGAAUAUCAAGAAAAAAAGUUUAAACCUGUGUUAGAAACAUGGAGAUAAAUAUCUAUCAGAAAACACAGGCAGAAGAGUCAAAAGCAGUCACUCAUGUAGUAGGAGUUGAGAAUGAGGAGGAUUGGAGUCUGAUAGUAUACUUGACUUUUAAAAUUAAAGAUGAGGGCUUCCCUUGUGGUGCAGUGGUUGAGAGUGCACCUGCCGAUGCAGGGGACACGGGUUCGUGCCCCGGUCCGGGAGGAUCCCACAUGCCGCAGAGCGGCUGAGCCCGUGAACCAUGGCCGCUGAGCCUGCGUGUCCGGAGCCUGUGCUCCGCAACGGGAGAGGCCACAGCAGUGAGAGGCCUGCAUACCGCAAAAAAAAAAAAAAAAAUUAAAGAUGAGUAUUAUCCUGAUGCAAAAUAAAAUAAAACAAAUGCAUGCACAUUGUAGAUGACUUAGAAAAUAUAGAUGAAUACAGGAAGAACAAAGAUCAUCUCUGAAUAAUUUCUCCACCCACACUUAGCCAUUAACAUCUUAUUGUGUUGUCCUUCAAUAAAUUUUUUUUUUUUUUUUUGCAGUACACAGGCCUCUCACUGUUGUGGCCUCUCCCGUUGUGGAGCACAGGCUCCAGACGCGCAGGCUCAGCAGCCAUGGCCCACGGGCCCAGCCGCUCCGCGGCAUGCAGGAUCCCCCCAGACCAGGGCACGAACCCAUGUCCCCUGCAUCGGCAGGCAGACUCUCAACCACUGCGCCACCAGGGAAGCCCCUUUCAAUACACAUUUUUUGUUACAAACUAAAUAUAUUUAAAUAUGUUCACACACAUAUUAAGAAGAAUUGUGCAUUUUAAGUACUUAAUAUAAGAGGUAUUUUCUUAUGUGAUUAAAAUUUUUUGCAUAAUAUUCAGUUGUUUGAACAUUAUGUAAUUAGGCAUUUUACUGCUGUUGAACAUUUAACUUUUAAAAUGUAUUACUUCAUUUAGUCAUUACAACAGCAUUUUGAGUUACUUCUUAUUAUAAUCCUCUCUUUUUUUAAAAAAAAAAAAGGACCUUGAAAAGGUUACAUAACGUUAUGUUGAAGUCCUAACCCUCAGUACCUCACAAUGUGACUGUAUUUGGAGAUCAGUCCUUUAAUGAGAUAAUUAAAUGAAGAUGAAGUCAUUAGGGUAGGUUCUAGUCCAAUAUGACUGGUGUCCUUAUAAAAGGAAAUUAGGACACAAACAGGUGCAGAGGGAAAACCAUGUGAAGACACAGGGAGAAGAAUAAUGGUCAUCUACAAGGCCUCAAAAGAAACCAACUCUGAUAACGCUUUGAUCUUGGACUUCUAGCCUCCAGAAGUGUGAGAAAAUAAAUUUCUGUUGGUCUAGCUAGCACCACCAGUCUGUGGUGCUUUAUUUUGGUAGCCCUAGCAAACUAACACAUGUACCUAUGGUCAUGUCACCAGAGAAGGCUAAAUCUGGGUUCAAAAUACAGGUGUUUUGAAUCCAGAUUUCAGAUCCCAAGCUCUUUUCCUCAUACUCUGUACAUGUGCGCACACACACGCACCUACAUAUAGACACACGUGCAUUCGUCUUCCCUGGAAGUCACAUUUCUAUCUCACCACACACAGAUUGAUGCUGCCAUCUUCUCCCUUUGCUUUUAUUUCCAUUCUUCUUUGUAUGUCUUCUUAAAUGUUUCCACUUUCUCCUUCUACUUCUUUUCUUUCUGCUAUUCUUUCCAUGGAAAUUCUCGGGCAGCUUCUUUUCACCGUAAACAUCUGUUUUGGAAUAGCCACAGAUCUUUUUAUAUCCUGACUUGUAGGUCUGUAACCAUCUUACGUUCUGUUUCCUCAAUUUAUUCUUCAAGGCACAUCUUGUUAAGAACAUGAUGUCACCCAGGGCUCUCAGGUAUGAACUGGGAUUAAUAGAGCAACGAACUCCACAGCGUGAUAUAAUUUGUGAUAUGAAUUGAGAUUUGAUGUGAUCAAAGAAAAACAAAGAAUACAGUCAUUGGCUUGUGAUAUUUUUGAUUUGCAACUACCAUAGUUUAACCUAGUUUCUCCUUGUCAUACUCUCAGGGCUUUAUUUCCUCUCCCCUCCAAAAUCCCACCUUAUUCUCCAGGAUCCUAUGAUCAACAAAAAUAAGCAACACUCUUCGUUUGGAGCAAUUCUUGCCUUUAUUUGAGCAGGUGCUAAAUAAUUAUAGACACAGUUAGCAUUUAAAGGGUGUGUUUCUUUUCAAGUCCUUAAAGCACAUGUUCACAUUGAUGUUUCCAAUGUAAAAACAAAUUUCAAAGAGAAGAAACAAAGAGAACAAUAAAAUUUGAAAAUCUCAAAUCUUGACUAGUCCUGGUAAAUAGAAAUGGGACAGGUGGUUCCACUCUCCUGAAAUCAAUAUUUUAUUCUCAGGAGAGUGGAAGUCAUUCUGGCUUAGAACCCCUUUAGAAAUGAUGAGGGCUUUGAGCACUUCUUUUUUUACAGUGCAGAUAUGAGCUGUGUAUAUUUUCUGGGGAGUCACACAAUUGGCAAGCGUGUUGACAUCCAGAGAUUAGUUGUUGUGUCAUACCUCUAUUUUCCAGGCUCACAGAUUUAAAAUAUCUUGACAAUGACAGUGAGAGUUGAUGAUGCGGGUUGCUAGACACUGAAGUGUUUUUGGAGUUACUGUUUUUAUGUCUUAGAAUCUACUUUCUUGAAAGUCUUCAAAAAUUUGAUAGCAUCUCGUAUUUCCCCACUUCUGCCUAAAGGCAGAGAGAUGGAUGUAAGUGGCCUCUCAAGACUCCUUGAGCCCUGAUAGUCUACGUUUGCCACUUGUCCUGCAGGCCACCAGAUGGUGUUAACCAUUAACCACAGGAAGUUCUAUGGCCCUUGAAAAUAGUAAUUAAUGAGAGGCAUAGCUAAAGUUGUUAGGGGAUCCGUUUACCUUUUUUUCCUCAGUUGCCUUAAAUGUGUCAGAAUCAAGUUGAAGGAUGUCUAUAAUAUCCACAGAAUGGAUCCACAAAAGCUCUAAUUAAAGAGGAUAUCAUUGUUCUCUCAUCUCUUCAGUUGUACAAUUUCUAGUGAAGGUAAGUCUGUGAAGACUCAUUGAUGUGAUCUAAAGAGCUGUGAUUGCAAGAACUUAAACCUCUUUAAUCUCAAAUUUGAGUAAAAAACCACCACCAAGUUAGGAGAGUGCAAUUCUCCUUCUUUUAGCUGUGUAGAUGAAACGUAAUCCAUUAGAGUUUUCCUUAGAACCCACCUGGAUGUCCAGGAAAAGUAAUAUGGAACGUCCAAAAUGUGCAUGGGUAUAUAAAAUAAUGAGCAUGCUUUGAUGCAUUUCAGUUAAGUUAAAUUUUUUCACUCCAUGUAUGUGAAAGUAAGCUUUGACCUCGAAAAUAUUUCUGGAUUGUAUCAGGACUGCUUUUUUUUUUUCUGAUAAAGCUCUAUCUUUUAAAAAAUUGCAAUUGUAUAAAGAUGCAGAGAAUUGAAACUUGCAUUGCAGGAAAAUCUGAGCAAUUGCAUGAUUAAACAGUUUGCUCCUUCUCUAAAGACAUGGGAAUAAUAAAAAUAGACCCUGGAUUCAUUUCAUGUAACUUCUGUUCAUUCAGACAUUUGAUUGUGGUUGUGUUUACUUUGUUAACGAAUUAUUUAUGUUAUCCUAAUUUUAUUUUCGCCUUUAGAUUCCAAGUAUUAUAUGAACAAUUAAGAGCUUAAGGAAGUACUAUUUAUGAAAUUUAAAGCAAACAUCUCUCUUCUAACAUUUUUUAAUAAAGCACAACAUUGUAAUAUUUUAUUCUCCCGUUACUCUAUUUGCUGUCAUUUUUAUCCACGCGAUCUCAAGUCCACACUGUGUGGGUAAAAGGUAAUUCAACAUUCUGGGACAUUCUCUUUGUAUUCAACUUCAUGUUAGAGUGCCUGGGGGGAUACAGAUGAUGUUUAAAGCCCUCUAGUGCUUACCAAUUGGCCAAAAUUAAUUUUAUUCUCUAUGUUUCUGGCUUGGAUAUAUUGAGUUUCAUUGGGCAAAAAAGUGCUGUUGGUAUUACUCAGAGUUUUAUAUUUUCCCUUUUAGGCUGGUCCAAUUUAGGAAACGGAAUCCUCUAAAGUCAUAAGUAGAGAUGCAAAAGCCUUCAGUUGCUUCUAUGUUACUGAAAUCUUGAGAAGUGGAUCUAGAAGCACAUUCCUCCUCCUCUCCCCUCCUCAAGAAUGUGGAUGAUGGAGUCGUCUUUACACUUGCACGCAGAGAAAAGGGUAAAGCGUGAACAUCCUUUUGAGCACUGGUGGGGUUAAGCCAGAGGUUCCAAGCCAGAGGGAGAAA